rnacentral:rRNA from 1 species
GUAGGUGGCAAGCGUUGUCCGGAUUUAUUGGGUUUAAAGGGUGCGUAGGCGUUUCUAUAAGUCAGUGGUGAAAUCCGGCAGCUCAACUGUCGAUGUGCCAUUGAUACUGCAGAACUUGAGUACAGACGAGGUAGGCGGAAUUGACGGUGUAGCGGUGAAAUGCUUAGAUAUCGUCAAGAACACCGAUAGCGAAGGCAGCUUACUAGACUGUAACUGACGCUGAUGCACGAAAGUGUGGGGAUCAAACAGGAUUAGAUACCCUGGUAGUCCACACUGUAAACGAUGAUUACUCGAUGUUGGCGAUACACAGCCAGCGUCUUAGCGAAAGCGAUAAGUAAUCCACCUGGGGAGUACGCCGGCAACGGUG